CUGACAGGUGUAGAGACUGAAGGCAUCUAUUUAUCUACAGAAGAGGUACAGCACAAGUAAAGAAAGGGCAACUUAAACAGCUCUUUAAGCCCAGUCUUAUCCCAGACCUAGGGAUUUAGUUGCGAUUGGGUACAAGCAUAGGCAGAGUUGGGUGGGGGGCAUUGUUCCCUCCCCCCCCAACUCUCCCCCCAAACAAAU
rnacentral:sRNA from 1 species